rnacentral:rRNA from 1 species
UAGGCUGCAACUCGCCUACACGAAGUCGGAAUCGCUAGUAAUCGCGGAUCAGCAUGCCGCGGUGAAUACGUUCCCGGGCCUUGUACACACCGCCCGUCACACCAUGGGAGUUGGGAGCACCCGAAGCCGGUGAGUUGACCGCAAGGGGACAGCCGUCGAAGGUGAGACUGAUGACUGGGGUGAAGUCGUAACAAGGUACC